CUGCUCCGAAGGACUCGCCGGCUGGGAAUCCUCCAGACCAGCGUGCGGGGGUUCCCUCUCGCCCAGCAGUGAAUGAGAGAUUGCCUUACCAAACAGCUCAUUUUUUUCUUAAGGUCUUCGGAGUGAGUCCCACACCACAAAUUUUAACUGUUUAUCUUUACUAAGAAGCCAGCCUGUUCUCCUGAUAACUGUUAGCAGAAUUGCUAACCCUUAGCCGCUGAAUGAUUUAUGCUGAUGGAGUUGGGGGAAAGGAUGGAAAUUAUGGUGACAGCAAGGCGACCAUGUAAACUAAUAUGAUUAGCAAGAUUCUUUCAUAAAUAGGUUGUGAAAACUUUGAGAAACCCAUUAAAGGACAUGCUGAUGCAUCCAUAAAGAAGGAAUAACAGGCAGAGCUGGGGCUCGGUGGUUUGGAGACCAGGUCUUCCUCUUUGGGUAUCUUACUCUUAGACAUCUGGACCAGUUCCUUCAAACUCUCCAGUAUGGGAUCUAAGACACCAAUUUAAAGCUAUCCUGCUUUCUUUGUGAUUGCUAUUUGCUAAGUCUAGAUAAAGUACUUUUGAA